rnacentral:rRNA from 1 species
UACGUAGGGGGCAAGCGUUGUCCGGAUUUAUUGGGCGUAAAGAGCUCGUAGGCGGCUCGGUAAGUCGGAUGUGAAACCUCCAGGCUCAACCUGGAGACGCCAUCUGAUACUGCCGUGGCUUGAGUCUGGUAGAGGAGCAGGGAAUUCCUGGUGUAGCGGUGAAAUGCGCAGAUAUCAGGAGGAACACCGGUGGCGAAGGCGGGACUCUGGGCCGAUACUGACGCUGAGGAGCGAAAGCGUGGGGAGCGAACAGG